AAAAAAGCAAAUCCUGAAUUUUCGUGUCUAACUUUGACUGUCCGUCUUAUAUGAAAUUUUUUAUAAUUCGUAUUUUCAUUAUUGUUAGAUGAUAAAACAUGAUUAAUAUUUUAUGCGUCUUUUUAUUUUUUUCAUAAUUUUUUUAAAUAAGACGGACGGUCAAACGUUGGACACGGAAAUC
rfam:Oryza glaberrima chromosome 7 Oglab07_0153_22, whole genome shotgun sequence.